AGGUUGUUCGUUGGGGACGCUCCGUCUAUGCAAAUAUUCAUAAAUUUAUUCAAUUCCAGCUCACUGUUAAUGUUGCUGCACUUGUAAUAAAUGUUGUGGCUGCUGUGUCCUCUGGUGAUGUCCCUCUAAAUGCAGUGCAGCUUUUAUGGGUUAACCUGAUAAUGGAUACUCUUGGAGCACUUGCUUUGGCUACUGAACCUCCUACAGA